CACUAUCGUUAACUGAAUACAUAGGUUAACGAGGCGAACCGGGGGAACUGAAACAUCUAAGUACCCCGAGGAAAAGAAAUCAACCGAGAUUCCCCCAGUAGCGGCGAGCGAACGGGGAGCAGCCCAGAGUCUGAAUCAGCUUGUGUGUUAGUGGAACGGUCUGGAAAGUCCGACGGUACAGGGUGAUAGUCCCGUACACCAAAAUGCACAGGUUGUGAACUCGAAGAGUAGGGCGGGACACGUGGUAUCCUGUCUGAAUAUGGGGGGACCAUCCUCCAAGGCUAAAUACUCCUGACUGACCGAUAGUGAACCAGUACCGUGAGGGAAAGGCGAAAAGAACCCCGGCGAGGGGAGUGAAAAAGAACCUGAAACCGUGUACGUACAAGCAGUGGGAGCACCUUCGGGUGUGACUGCGUACCUUUUGUAUAAUGGGUCAGCGACUUAUAUUCUGUAGCAAGGUUAACCGUAUAGGGGAGCCGCAGGGAAACCGAGUCUUAACUGGGCGUUAAGUUGCAGGGUAUAGACCCGAAACCCGGUGAUCUAGCCAUGGGCAGGUUGAAGGUUGGGUAACACUAACUGGAGGACCGAACCGACUAAUGUUGAAAAAUUAGCGGAUGACUUGUGGCUGGGGGUGAAAGGCCAAUCAAACCGGGAGAUAGCUGGUUCUCCCCGAAAGCUAUUUAGGUAGCGCCUCGUGAAUUCAUCUUCGGGGGUAGAGCACUGUUUCGGCUAGGGGGUCAUCCCGACUUACCAACCCGAUGCAAACUACGAAUACCGAAGAAUGUUAUCACGGGAGACACACGGCGGGUGCUAACGUCCGUCGUGAAGAGGGAAACAACCCAGACCGCCAGCUAAGGUCCCAAAGUCAUGGUUAAGUGGGAAACGAUGUGGGAAGGCACAGACAGCCAGGAUGUUGGCUUAGAAGCAGCCAUCAUUUAAAGAAAGCGUAAUAGCUCACUGGUCGAGUCGGCCUGCGCGGAAGAUGUAACGGGGCUAAACCAUGCACCGAAGCUGCGGCAGCGACACUAUGUGUUGUUGGGUAGGGGAGCGUUCUGUAAGCCUGCGAAGGUGUGCUGUGAGGCAUGCUGGAGGUAUCAGAAGUGCGAAUGCUGACAUAAGUAACGAUAAAGCGGGUGAAAAGCCCGCUCGCCGGAAGACCAAGGGUUCCUGUCCAACGUUAAUCGGGGCAGGGUGAGUCGACCCCUAAGGCGAGGCCGAAAGGCGUAGUCGAUGGGAAACAGGUUAAUAUUCCUGUACUUGGUGUUACUGCGAAGGGGGGACGGAGAAGGCUAUGUUAGCCGGGCGACGGUUGUCCCGGUUUAAGCAUGUAGGCUG
rnacentral:rRNA from 1 species